GUUUGCAGCUGAGCCACUUUGUUCUGUUAACCAAUCAGCCUUUCACAAGCAAGUUCACCCUGGGUUAGUAUUUGGAUUGAGGACCCCAUAGAAUACCUAGGUGCUGUAGGAA
ensembl:rRNA 5S_rRNA 5S ribosomal RNA